rnacentral:rRNA from 1 species
AGAGUUUGAUCCUGGCUCAGAACGAACGCUGGCGGCAGGCUUAACACAUGCAAGUCGAACGAGGUAGCAAUACCUAGUGGCGCACGGGUGAGUAACGCGUGGGAACGUACCUUUUAGUUCGGAAUAACUGCGGGAAACUGCAGCUAAUACCGGAUACGCCCUUUGGGGGAAAGAUUUAUCGCUAAAAGAUCGGCCCGCGUUAGAUUAGGUAGUUGGUGGGGUAAUGGCCUACCAAGCCUUCGAUCUAUAGCUGGUCUGAGAGGAUGAUCAGCCACACUGGAACUGAGACACGGUCCAGACUCCUACGGGAGGCAGCAGUGGGGAAUAUUGGACAAUGGGCGAAAGCCUGAUCCAGCCAUGCCGCGUGAGUGAUGAAGGCCUUAGGGUUGUAAAGCUCUUUUACCAGGGAAGAUAAUGACGGUACCUGGAGAAUAAGCACCGGCUAACUUCGUGCCAGCAGCCGCGGUAAUAA